CCUUUUCCUGCCUGGAUUCCCCAGGAAUUCCUCUGCGUUGCUGCCUUGUCCAGCCUGGGAGAAGCGACAAGAGCUGACCAUUUGAAGUGCAGCAGCUGCCCCGAGCCCCGUGCUUGGCAACAUUCCCCCCAACGAUGGGAUGCCGGGAGGCCCCAUCCCGCCAGGUUUCUUUCAGGGUCCUCCGGGGUCACAGCCCUCGCCGCACGCACAGCCUCCACCUCACAAUCCUAGCAGCAUGAUGGGACCCCACAGUCAGCCUUUUAUGUCACCGCGAUACGCAGGCGGCCCCAGGCCCCCGAUCAGAAUGGGAAACCAGGGGACAAAUUUGGACAAGAGGAAUUAGAGACCCAGCUUUUUGAGCAAAAGAAGGGAUCCCUGGAUACAUCACAGAUGAGGAAACAAAAGCCUCCGGGAGGAGUUCCUGGGACACAGCCAUUGCUGCCCAAUUCUAUGGAUCCCACACGACAACAAGGCCACCCCAACAUGGGAGGAUCAAUGCAGAGAAUGAACCCUCCCCGAGGCAUGGGGCCCAUGGGUCCCGGCCCACAGAAUUACGGCAGCGGCAUGAGACCACCAC
rnacentral:lncRNA from 1 species